AUGCAAAUCCCAAAGAAAACCCGCACCCACCACACCCAACAAUGUGUUUUAGCACCCACUGCGUCGUCGAAGCCGGCCAAGUCGGGUGGAGGCAAGCAGAAGAAGAAGUGGAGCAAGGGCAAGCAAAAGGAGAAGGUGAACAACACGGUGAUCUUCGACCAGGCCACCUACGACAAGCUGCUCACCGAGGUGCCCAAGUACAAGCAGAUCACGCCCUCCGUCCUCUCCGAGCGACUCAGGAUCAACGGGUCGCUGGCUCGCAGGGCCAUCAAGGACCUGAUGGAGAGGGGACUCAUCAGGAUGGUGUCAAUCCAGUCCAGCUAG
rnacentral:rRNA from 1 species